UACGUAGGUGGCAAGCGUUGUCCGGAAUUAUUGGGCGUAAAGCGCGCGCAGGCGGUCCUUUAAGGCUGAUGUGAAAGCCCACGGCUCAACCGUGGAGGGUCAUUGGAAACUGGGGGACUUGAGUACAGAAGAGAAGAGUGGAAUUCCACGUGUAGCGGUGAAAUGCGUAGAGAUGUGGAGGAACACCAGUGGCGAAGGCGACUCUUUGGUCUGUAACUGACGCUGAGGCGCGAAAGCGUGGGGAGCAAACAGG
rnacentral:rRNA from 1 species